UUGUGUUACAGCACUUUUAGAAUUUGUCUAGCAGGUUUUCUGGUCCUUACCAGAAGGACCUCU
ensembl:snRNA U7 U7 small nuclear RNA